rnacentral:tRNA from 1 species
ACGGCGGUAGUUUAAUGGUAGAAUCUAGGACUGUGGAUCCUAUGGCGCGGGUUCGAUUCCCGCUCGCCGUC